rnacentral:rRNA from 1 species
GUCUAUGGCCAUGCCACCCUGAACAAGCCCAAUCCCAUCUGAUCUCAGAAGCUAAGCAGGGUCGGGCCUGGUUAGUAUUUGGAUGGGAGAACACCUAGGAAGACCAGGUGCUAUAGGCG